CUUACACAUGCAGUCGACGAUGAUCAGGAGCUUGCUCCUGUGAUUAGUGGCGAACGGGUGAGUAACACGUGAGUAACCUGCCCCUGACUCUGGGAUAAGCGUUGGAAACGACGUCUAAUACUGGAUAUGAUCACUGGCCGCAUGGUCUGGUGGUGGAAAGAUUUUUUGGUUGGGGAUGGACUCGCGGCCUAUCAGCUUGUUGGUGAGGUAAUGGCUCACCAAGGCGACGACGGGUAGCCGGCCUGAGAGGGUGACCGGCCACACUGGGACUGAGACACGGCCCAGACUCCUACGGGAGGCAGCAGUGGGGAAUAUUGCACAAUGGGCGAAAGCCUGAUGCAGCAACGCCGCGUGAGGGAUGACGGCCUUCGGGUUGUAAACCUCUUUUAGUAGGGAAGAAGCGAAAGUGACGGUACCUGCAGAAAAAGCACCGGCUAACUACGUGCCAGCAGCCGCGGUAAUACGUAGGGUGCAAGCGUUGUCCGGAAUUAUUGGGCGUAAAGAGCUCGUAGGCGGUUUGUCGCGUCUGCUGUGAAAUCCCGAGGCUCAACCUCGGGCUUGCAGUGGGUACGGGCAGACUAGAGUGCGGUAGGGGAGAUUGGAAUUCCUGGUGUAGCGGUGGAAUGCGCAGAUAUCAGGAGGAACACCGAUGGCGAAGGCAGAUCUCUGGGCCGUAACUGACGCUGAGGAGCGAAAGCGUGGGGAGCGAACAGGAUUAGAUACCCUGGUAGUCCACGCCGUAAACGUUGGGCGCUAGAUGUAGGGACCUUUCCACGGUUUCUGUGUCGUAGCUAACGCAUUAAGCGCCCCGCCUGGGGAGUACGGCCGCAAGGCUAAAACUCAAAGGAAUUGACGGGGGCCCGCACAAGCGGCGGAGCAUGCGGAUUAAUUCGAUGCAACGCGAAGAACCUUACCAAGGCUUGACAUACACCGGAAACGGCCAGAGAUGGUCGCCCCCUUGUGGUCGGUGUACAGGUGGUGCAUGGUUGUCGUCAGCUCGUGUCGUGAGAUGUUGGGUUAAGUCCCGCAACGAGCGCAACCCUCGUUCUAUGUUGCCAGCGCGUUAUGGCGGGGACUCAUAGGAGACUGCCGGGGUCAACUCGGAGGAAGGUGGGGAUGACGUCAAAUCAUCAUGCCCCUUAUGUCUUGGGCUUCACGCUGCUACAAUGGCCGGUACAAAGGGCUGCGAUACCGUAAGGUGGAGCGAAUCCCAAAAAGCCGGUCUCAGUUCGGAUUGAGGUCUGCAACUCGACCUCAUGAAGUCGGAGUCGCUAGUAAUCGCAGAUCAGCAACGCUGCGGUGAAUACGUUCCCGGGCCUUGUACACACCGCCCGUCAAGUCAUGAAAGUCGGUAACACCCGAAGCCGGUGGCCUAACCCUUGUGGAAGAGCCGUCGAAG
rnacentral:rRNA from 1 species